AUUGAACGCUGGCGGCAUGCUUUACACAUGCAAGUCGAACGGCAGCAUGGGUGCUUGCACCUGAUGGCGAGUGGCGAACGGGUGAGUAAUGUAUCGGAACAUAUCCGCAAGUGGGGGAUAACGUAGCGAAAGUUACGCUAAUACCGCAUAUUCCCUGAGGGGGAAAGGAGGGGAUCAGCAAGGACCUUUCGCUUACGGAGUGGCCGAUAUCAGAUUAGCUAGUUGGUGGGGUAAGGGCUCACAAAGGCGACGAGCUGUAGCGGGUCUGAGAGGAUGAUCCGCCACACUGGGACUGAGACACGGCCCAGACUCCUACGGGAGGCAGCAGUGGGGAAUUUUGGACAAUGGGGGCAACCCUGAUCCAGCCAUGCCGCGUGAGUGAAGAAGGCCUUCGGGUUGUAAAGCUCUUUCAGCCGGAAAAAAAUCGCAUCACCUAAUACGUGGUGUGGAUGAUGGUACCGGAAGAAGAAGCACCGGCUAACUACGUGCCAGCCGCCGCGGUAAGAC
rnacentral:rRNA from 1 species